AUUGAACGCUGGCGGCAGGCUUAACACAUGCAAGUCGAGCGGAGUGAUGGUGCUUGCACUAUCACUUAGCGGCGGACGGGUGAGUAAUGCUUAGGAAUCUGCCAUUUAGUGGGGGACAACAUUCCGACAGGAAUGCUAAUACCGCAUACGUCCUACGGGAGAAAGCAGGGGAUCUUCGGACCUUGCGCUAAAUGAUGAGCCUAAGUCGGAUUAGCUAGUUGGUGGGGUAAAGGCCUACCAAGGCGACGAUCUGCAGCGGGUCUGAGAGGAUGAUCCGCCACACUGGGACUGAGACACGGCCCAGACUCCUACGGGAGGCAGCAGUGGGGAAUAUUGGACAAUGGGCGGAAGCCUGAUCCAGCCAUGCCGCGUGUGUGAAGAAGGCCUUUUGGUUGUAAAGCACUUUAAGCGAGGAGGAGGCUCUUCUAGUUAAUACCUAGGAUGAGCGGACGUUACUCGCAGAAUAAGCACCGGCUAACUCUGUGCCAGCCGCCGCCGUAAUAC
rnacentral:rRNA from 1 species